rnacentral:rRNA from 1 species
ACAUGCCUACAACAUAGUGUUAAUGAAUUAGAUCUCAUUAGAACUCCGCAAUUAAGCGCACUCAUGCUAGAGUAGUACUGGGAUGGGUGGCCACUCGUGAAGUACUAGUAUUUUACAUGCC